rfam:Chlorocebus sabaeus isolate 1994-021 chromosome 9, whole genome shotgun sequence.
AGACAGGUUUUUUUAAAAACCACACACACAUGAUUUUCUCAUCUC